rnacentral:rRNA from 1 species
CCUACGGGAGGCAGCAGUGGGGAAUAUUGCGCAAUGGGCGGAAGCCUGACGCAGCGACGCCGCGUGGGGGAUGACGGCCUUCGGGUUGUAAACCUCUUUCAGCAGGGACGAAGCGGAAGUGACGGUACCUGCAGAAGAAGCACCGGCCAACUACGUGCCAGCAGCCGCGGUAAUACGUAGGGUGCAAGCGUUGUCCGGAAUUAUUGGGCGUAAAGAGCUCGUAGGCGGUUUGUUGCGUCGGCUGUGAAAUCCCGAGGCUCAACCUCGGGUCUGCAGUCGAUACGAGCAAACUAGAGUGUUGCAGGGGAGACUGGAAUUCCUGGCGUAGCGGUGAAAUGCGCAGAUAUCAGGAGGAACACCGGUGGCGAAGGCGGGUCUCUGGGCAACAACUGACGCUGAGGAGCGAAAGCGUGGGGAGCGAACAGGAUUAGAUACCCUGGUAGUCCACGCCGUAAACGUUGGGCGCUAGGUGUGGGGCUCAUUCCACGAGUUCCGUGCCGCAGCUAACGCAUUAAGCGCCCCGCCUGGGGAGUACGGCCGCAAGGCUAAAACUCAAAGGAAUUGACGGGGGCCCGCACAAGCGGCGGAGCAUGUUGCUUAAUUCGAUGCAACGCGAAGAACCUUACCUAGGCUUGACAUGCACGGAAAUCUCCCAGAGAUGGGAGGUCCGUAAGGGCCGUGCACAGGUGGUGCAUGGUUGUCGUCAGCUCGUGUCGUGAGAUGUUGGGUUAAGUCCCGCAACGAGCGCAACCCUCGUCCUAUGUUGCCAGCACGUGAUGGUGGGGACUCAUAGGAGACUGCCGGGGUCAACUCGGAGGAAGGUAGGGAUGACGUCAAAUCAUCAUGCCCCUUAUGUCUAGGGCUGCAAACAUGCUACAAUGGCCGGUACAAAGGGCUGCGAUACCGUGAGGUGGAGCGAAUCCCAAAAAGCCGGUCUCAGUUCCGGAUUGGGGUCUGCAACUCGACCCCAUGAAGUUGGAGUCCCUAGUAAUCGCAGAUCAGCAACCCCCCCG